rnacentral:rRNA from 1 species
GGACGAACGCUGGCGGCGUGCCUAACACAUGCAAGUCGAACGGGUCUGAGGGGCUUGCCCCUCAGAUUAGUGGCGAACGGGUGAGUAACGCGUGAGCAACCUGCCUUUCAGUGGGGGAUACCGGUUGGAAACGACCGUUAAUACCGCAUGAUGCAUUCGGUCCGCAUGGACUGAAUGCCAAAGAUUUAUUGCUGAAAGAUGGGCUCGCGUCUGAUUAGAUAGUUGGUGAGGUAACGGCCCACCAAGUCGACGAUCAGUAGCCGGACUGAGAGGUUGAACGGCCACAUUGGGACUGAGAUACGGCCCAGACUCCUACGGGAGGCAGCAGUGGGGAAUAUUGGGCAAAGUGGGGGAAACCCUGACCCAGCAACGCCGCGUGAAGGAAGAAGGCGUUUCGGGUUGUAAACUUCUUUUACCAGGGACGAAGGACGUGACGGUACCUGGAGAAAAAGCCACGGCUAACUACGUGCCAGCCGCAGC